CCGUUGGAAACGACAGCUAAUCCCCAAUAAGCCGAGAGGUGAAACGGGAUUCCGCUAGAAGAGGAGCUCGCGUCCGAUUAGUUAGUUGGUGGGGUAAAAGCCUACCAAAGCGUCGAUCGGUAGCUGGUCUGAGAGGAUGAGCAGCCACACUGGGACUGAGACACGGCCCAGACUCCUACGGGAGGCAGCAGUGGGGAAUUUUCCGCAAUGGGCGAAAGCCUGACGGAGCAACGCCGCGUGUGGGAAGAAGGCUCUUGGGCUGUCAACCACUUUUCUCAGGGAAGAAUUACUGACGGUACCUGAGGAAUCAGCCUCGGCUAACUCCGUGCCAGCAGCCGCGGUAAUACGGAGGAGGCAAGCGUUAUCCGGAAUUAUUGGGCGUAAAGCGUCCGCAGGGGGCGCAUCAAGUCUGCUGUCAAAGGUCGGAGCUUAACUCCGGUGUGGCAGUGGAAACGGGUGCGCUAGAGGGCGACAGGGGUAGAGGGAAUUCCCAGUGUAGCGGUGAAAUGCGUAGAGAUUGGGAAGAACACCGGUGGCGAAAGCGCUCUACUGGGUCGCACCUGACCCUCAGGGACGAAAGCUAAGGUAGCGAA
rnacentral:rRNA from 1 species